CUUUCCUGUAAUUUUCUCCAUUUUUAUAUAUACUGAAACUAGUCGGUAGAGUAUAUAAUUAUCUCUCCGUUUCUCUAUUUUAACCUUACCCUAACUUUACCUUAUGGCCACAGUUGUCGAGUUUGAAUUUCCCCAACUCGUCAACGACCUUCAAGAUCUAACCGUUGAACCUCAGGUAAAUUUGGGUCUUCAUUUAAUUUAUUACCUUUUGGGGUAUUUCUAGUUUUUGAUUUUGUUGGUUUGUUUUAGUGUUAAUUAUGUUGCAAGAUCCAAUUUUUAUUUGAAAUAAUUAUGUGGGUGUUGAUUAUUUUGAAGUAAUAGCUGGCCCAUUGUGUUUUUUGGGCUGUUUUUACUUUAUUAUUAGCUGGGUCUGUUUGAAUAUUUUGGCUGAUCCAAUAUUCAGUUUUUCCUUGAGAUGAUUUUAGUUAUUUUUAAGUAAUUGAAUAUCACGUUUCCUUUGAUUAGGGUCUGUUAAUUUUCCUGUUUCUAUUCUGUAUUUUUUUUCUCCAACAAGGUUGGAUUUUCGAUUUGGUAGAUUGGAGUGUUAGAUUAUUGGAAGUUUAGUUGUUAAUCUAAAUUAAGAUGUGUUAUGGGUAUCGGAAUAAAGGAUAUAGAGGAUUGAAAUGUGAAAAGGAAAUAUAUGCUAGACUAGAUUGGGAUCAAUGCAUAGUUUUUUUUAUUACUGAGAAAUCCCUCAUGACCAGUGGCGCACUGUUAGAAACUCAGGCCAACCCAGUGCUGUGAAGAGCGUGAAGCAAGGAAAAGCGGCAAGCCCCUUUUCGCUUAAAGCGAGAAGCGAGAAGUGAAGUGCUCGCUUUUUUGAAGUGAAGCGAAAUUUUAAAAAAAAAUAUUAAAAUAAAUAUUGCAUAUACAACACAUAUAACUGUAAGCAAAUGUUCAAUACUUCAAUGUAAAAACUAAAGAGUAGCAUCAAUUAAAGUACAAAAUGAGCAUCUUAUUCUUUUACAAGAUUGUCAAAUUCUUGUAUUUCACUAUCAUUAUUAUAUUACUCGUCAUCUUCUUCAUCUUCUUCAUCUUCUUCUUCUUCAUCAACUAGGGACAAAGUAGAUGCUUCUUUUCCCUUCCUCUGUGAGCUUGAAGUUGAGGUACUCCCCCUCAAACCAUAAUUCCUCUCCCCAAUUCCACGUGCCUCCACAAUAUCACCCCAAGUGAAAUCAAAAGUUUCCUCAAAUACUUCUUCAUCAGCAUGAUCUUCCGGGACUCUAAUUAGCCAUUCAUUAGCAUCAUCGAUGGUGUCCAAACUAAUUGGAUCAAUUACAUUGCGAGCGUUGUAACGACGCCUCAAUGUUAUAUUGUACUUAAUGAAGACUAGAUCAUUGAGAUGCUUCAAGGUUAGUUUGUUCCUCUUUUUGGUAUGAAUUUGCAAAUAAUAUGUAAUUAGUAAGAUUAGGACAAUUGAGAUAUAAUUUAAUUAUCUCAAUAUACUAAAUCUUUCUUCCUAGUUCUUACAUGUUCAAACAUGCUCCAAUUCCUUUCACACCCGGAUGAGCUACACGUUAGACUUAGAACCUUGAUGGCAAACUUUUGUAAUUCUGGAGUGGAAUGGCCAUAUUGCUUCCACUAUUCAACUGUAGAAGUAGAG
rnacentral:lncRNA from 1 species